UACGGAGGGGGCUAGCGUUGUUCGGAAUUACUGGGCGUAGAGCGCACGUAGGCGGACCAGAAAGUUGGAGGUGAAAUCCCAGGGCUUAACCUUGGAACUGCCUUCAAAACUCCUGAUCUAGAGUUCGAGAGAGGUGAGUGGAAUUCCGAGUGUAGAGGUGAAAUUCGUAGAUAUUCGGAAGAACACCAGUGGCGAAGGCGACUGACUGGACAAGUAUUGACGCUGAGGUGCGAAAGCGUGGGGAGCAAACAGG
rnacentral:rRNA from 1 species